GACGAACCGUGCGAACGUUAUUCGGAAUCAUUGGGCUUAAAGGGCGCGUAGGCGGGCGACCGCGUCGAGUGCUGAAAGCCCCCGGCUCAACCGGGGAAUGGGCCUCGAAACGGGUUGCCUGGAGGCGAGGAGGGGGACCUGGAACUUCCGGUGGAGCGGUGAAAUGCGUUGAGAUCGGAAGGAACGCCCAUGGCGAAAGCAAGGUCCUGGACUCGUACUGACGCUGAGGCGCGAAAGCCAGGGGAGCGAACGGG
rnacentral:rRNA from 1 species